rnacentral:rRNA from 1 species
UGGCCAUAAGACAGGGAUAACGCACGGAAACGUGAGCUAAAACCAGAUAGGCAUUUUCCACGCAUGAGGGAGAUGAGAAAGCGGAGCAAUCUGCCGCUUAUGGAUGGACCUGCGUCGCAUUAGCUAGUUGGAGUGGUAAAGGCACACCAAGGCGACGAUGCGUAGCCGACCUGAGAGGGUGAGCGGCCACACUGGGACUGAGACACGGCCCAGACUCCUACGGGAGGCAGCAGUAGGGAAUCUUCCGCAAUGGACGAAAGUCUGACGGAGCAACGCCGCGUGAGUGAAGAAGGUUUUCGGAUCGUAAAGCUCUGUUGCCAGGGAAGAAGAGCAAGGAGAGGAACUGCUCCUUGAGCGACGGUACCUGAGAAGAAAGCCCCGGCUAACUACGUG